AUUGAACGCUGGCGGCAUGCCUUACACAUGCAAGUCGAACGGCAGCACGGGAGCAAUCCUGGUGGCGAGUGGCGAACGGGUGAGUAAUAUAUCGGAACGUGCCCAGUCGUGGGGGAUAACGUAGCGAAAGCUACGCUAAUACCGCAUACGAUCUAUGGAUGAAAGCGGGGGAUCGCAAGACCUCGCGCGAUUGGAGCGGCCGAUAUCAGAUUAGGUAGUUGGUGAGGUAAAGGCUCGCCAAGCCGACGAUCUGUAGCUGGUCUGAGAGGACGACCAGCCACACUGGGACUGAGACACGGCCCAGACUCCUACGGGAGGCAGCAGUGGGGAAUUUUGGACAAUGGGCGCAAGCCUGAUCCAGCAAUGCCGCGUGCAGGA
rnacentral:rRNA from 1 species